rnacentral:tRNA from 1 species
GUGGCUGUAGUUCAGUUGGUUAGAACACCUGAUUGUGAUUCAGGGGGUCGUGGGUUCAAGUCCCAUCAGCCACCCCA